AUUGAACGCUGGCGGCAUGCCUUACACAUGCAAGUCGAACGGCAGCACGGGUGCUUGCACCUGGUGGCGAGUGGCGAACGGGUGAGUAAUACAUCGGAACAUGUCCUGUAGUGGGGGAUAGCCCGGCGAAAGCCGGAUUAAUACCGCAUACGAUCCACGGAUGAAAGCGGGGGACCUUCGGGCCUCGCGCUUUCGGGUUGGCCGAUGGCUGAUUAGCUAGUUGGUGGGGUAAAGGCCUACCAAGGCGACGAUCAGUAGCUGGUCUGAGAGGACGACCAGCCACACUGGGACUGAGACACGGCCCAGACUCCUACGGGAGGCAGCAGUGGGGAAUUUUGGACAAUGGGCGAAAGCCUGAUCCAGCAAUGCCGCGUGUGUGAAGAAGGCCUUCGGGUUGUAAAGCACUUUUGUCCGGAAAGAAAUCCUUGACUCUAAUACAGUCGGGGGAUGACGGUACCGGAAGAAUAAGCACCGGCUAACUACGUG
rnacentral:rRNA from 1 species